GGUUUGGCCUCUGGGGGCGCUGUUCUUAAAUCCACUCAGGAAGUCAGGCAGCCUCACAGAGGAAGCAGCAACGGGCCCCUUAGAGUCAGACCGUUUCGGCGGAGGAAGCUGAUAGCGUCUGACUUUUCCCAAGGGAAACUUUUCACAGGAAAAAAUGUAAAAACUCUCCCCCAGAGUCUCAGAAUCGACAGUGAUGGUUCUCACUGGGAAGCGGCAUGGUGUCUACACAGGAAUGGUGAGGCUUCUUCUGCCACGCUGACUGCUGACCGGAGGCUUCCCGUCCCCAUGGUUACUUAACGAUGACCCCAGGAGAGUGGACAGCCAAACGGUUAAGAUUGUGGUCUUUGGAAUCGGGUGGACCUGUGGUUAAGAAUCAGUUUGCACUGUUACGAACCUUGUGAAUUUGCAGAGUCACUCGACUUUGCUAAGGCCGCUAUUCCUUCCUUCAGAAAUUGGGGACAUAAGUGUUUAACUGAAUUUGCAUUUCCUUAACUUCUUCAAGUCCUUUGUUCUUUUAGCUGUAACCUGGGGAUAACAACUGUUCCUGGGACUUCCCUGGUGGUCCCGUGGUUAAUAAUCUGACUUGCCAAUGCAGGGGACGUGGGUUGGAACCCUAGGAAUCUGGGAAGAUUCCACACGCCACAGGGCUGCUGAGCCCCUGCUCAAAGACCACUGAGCCUGCAUGCCAAGAGCCUGUGCUCUGCAUCGAGAAGCCACCACGACGAGAAGCCCGAGCAUUGCGACUAGAAGUUCUUCGGAUCAAAUGAAGCAAGGUUUACAAAAGCACUUGGAAAGCUGGAGACGGGCAUACAUACAAGCUAAUUGUUUGGAAACUGAAUUCAGCUGUUGAUUGAAUGAUUAAUUUUUCUCCUUUAACAGUCAGUGUAGCCAAUGGCUGGCUGAUGAAGUGUCCUCAGGGGCCAGAGCCCCCACUGGUCCAGGCCCUGCUCUUGCCUUCAGUCGAGGGCUAACCUAUCACUGCAUGAAGACAAUAUGAAACUUUUCCAAGACUCACAACUCUGAUCAUUUUUUUUUUUUGGCAGGAUGAUGUAAAUCUUUUAUUUUAUUUUUUGAAAACCCUCACCAGAUUUGUCCCUUCGCCACUAAUCUCUGAGA
ensembl:lncRNA